rnacentral:miRNA from 1 species
AACCUCAUUGACUGGAAGGGAUUCCUUCCGGUUGAUGGGGUUGUUGUACCUCAUCGAUCUGAGGGGUAUCCUUCCAAUUGAUGGAUGAGGUAUAACAACCCCAUCAACCGGAAGGAAUUCCUUCCAAUUGAUGAGGUAUAACAACCCCAUCAACCGGAAGGAAUUCCUUCCAAUUGAUGAGGUA